GCAUCCUCAGCAGCCACAGGCAAGGUAAGUUUGGGAUUUGCAUCUCCCUCAGCUUACCCGGCUAAGCUGGCUAGUUUUAUGUCAACAUGAAACAGUGCAUAGUCCUCAGAAAGGAAGGAACCUCAACUGAGAAAAUGUCUUCAUAAGAGGGCAGCUCAUUGUGAGUGGUGCCAGCCCUGGGCUGGUGAUCCUCAGUUCUGUAAGAAAGCAGGCCAUGCUCCUAUACAACAACCCCAAGGAUGGCGGGAGAGGACUACCACUCCUCAGGAGAAGCUGUCUGCAUGGGCUGAGCAGAGAUGGCUACAGUGCUUGCUGAAAGCAUGGUGACAAACAAGUGACCUAGAGUCACACUUCCUGCCUCUCAAAAUCAAAUCUGCCAGUCAGUGAUGUGGGGUGAGAAGGCACAGUUUCAGUUCGCACCCAUCCUACACCCUCUGCGGCUGCCCUACAGGCCUCCUUCCUCCUCCUCAGGCUCGGAGUUCACGUUGCUCUGCUCAGACAUUCGAGCCACCGGUGUGGCUGGUGGAACUCUGGCU
rnacentral:lncRNA from 1 species